rnacentral:rRNA from 1 species
UGGGGAAUAUUGCACAAUGGGCGCAAGCCUGAUGCAGCCAUGCCGCGUGUGUGAAGAAGGCCUUCGGGUUGUAAAGCACUUUCAGCGGGGAGGAAGGCGGUGAGGUUAAUAACCUCAUCGAUUGACGUUACCCGCAGAAGGAGCACCGGCUAACUCCGUGCCAGCAGCCGCGGUAAUACGGAGGGUGCAAGCGUUAAUCGGAAUUACUGGGCGUAAAGCGCACGCAGGCGGUCUGUCAAGUCAGAUGUGAAAUCCUCGGGCUCAACCUGGGAACUGCAUCUGAUACUGGUCAGCUAGAGUCUUGUAGAGGGGGGUAGAAUUCCAUGUGUAGCGGUGAAAUGCGUAGAGAUGUGGAGGAAUACCGGUGGCGAAGGCGGCCCCCUGGACAAAGACUGACGCUCAGGUGCGAAAGCGUGGGGAGCAAACAGG